CAAGUCGAACGAUGAAGCUUCUAGCUUGCUAGAAGUGGAUUAGUGGCGCACGGGUGAGUAAGGUAUAGUUAAUCUGCCCUACACAAGAGGACAACAGUUGGAAACGACUGCUAAUACUCUAUACUCCUGCUUAACACAAGUUGAGUAGGGAAAGUUUUUCGGUGUAGGAUGAGACUAUAUAGUAUCAGCUAGUUGGUAAGGUAAUGGCUUACCAAGGCUAUGACGCUUAACUGGUCUGAGAGGAUGAUCAGUCACACUGGAACUGAGACACGGUCCAGACUCCUACGGGAGGCAGCAGUAGGGAAUAUUGCGCAAUGGGGGAAACCCUGACGCAGCAACGCCGCGUGGAGGAUGACACUUUUCGGAGCGUAAACUCCUUUUCUUAGGGAAGAAUUCUGACGGUACCUAAGGAAUAAGCACCGGCUAACUCCGUGCCAGCAGCCGCGGUAAUACGGAGGGUGCAAGCGUUACUCGGAAUCACUGGGCGUAAAGGGCGCGUAGGCGGAUUAUCAAGUCUCUUGUGAAAUCUAAUGGCUUAACCAUUAAACUGCUUGGGAAACUGAUAGUCUAGAGUGAGGGAGAGGCAGAUGGAAUUGGUGGUGUAGGGGUAAAAUCCGUAGAUAUCACCAAGAAUACCCAUUGCGAAGGCGAUCUGCUGGAACUCAACUGACGCUAAGGUGCGAAAGCGUGGGGAGCAAACAGGAUUAGAUACCCUGGUAGUCCACGCCCUAAACGAUGUACACUAGUUGUUGGGGUGCUAGUCAUCUCAGUAAUGCAGCUAACGCAUUAAGUGUACCGCCUGGGGAGUACGGUCGCAAGAUUAAAACUCAAAGGAAUAGACGGGGACCCGCACAAGCGGUGGAGCAUGUGGUUUAAUUCGAAGAUACGCGAAGAACCUUACCUGGGCUUGAUAUCCUAAGAACCUUAUAGAGAUAUGAGGGUGCUAGCUUGCUAGAACUUAGAGACAGGUGCUGCACGGCUGUCGUCAGCUCGUGUCGUGAGAUGUUGGGUUAAGUCCCGCAACGAGCGCAACCCACGUAUUUAGUUGCUAACGGUUCGGCCGAGCACUCUAAAUAGACUGCCUUCGUAAGGAGGAGGAAGGUGUGGACGACGUCAAGUCAUCAUGGCCCUUAUGCCCAGGGCGACACACGUGCUACAAUGGCAUAUACAAUGAGACGCAAUACCGCGAGGUGGAGCAAAUCUAUAAAAUAUGUCCCAGUUCGGAUUGUUCUCUGCAACUCGAGAGCAUGAAGCCGGAAUCGCUAGUAAUCGUAGAUCAGCCAUGCUACGGUGAAUACGUUCCCGGGUCUUGUACUCACCGCCCGUCACACCAUGGGAGUUGAUUUCACUCGAAGCCGGAAUACUAAA
rnacentral:rRNA from 1 species